GAUGAACGCUGGCGGCGUGCCUAAUACAUGCAAGUCGAGCGAACAGACGAGGAGCUUGCUCCUCUGACGUUAGCGGCGGACGGGUGAGUAACACGUGGAUAACCUACCUAUAAGACUGGGAUAACUUCGGGAAACCGGAGCUAAUACCGGAUAAUAUAUUGAACCGCAUGGUUCAAUAGUGAAAGACGGUUUUGCUGUCACUUAUAGAUGGAUCCGCGCCGCAUUAGCUAGUUGGUAAGGUAACGGCUUACCAAGGCAACGAUGCAUAGCCGACCUGAGAGGGUGAUCGGCCACACUGGAACUGAGACACGGUCCAGACUCCUACGGGAGGCAGCAGUAGGGAAUCUUCCGCGAUGGGCGAAAGCCUGACGGAGCAACGCCGCGUGAGUGAUGAAGGUCUUCGGAUCGUAAAACUCUGUUAUUAGGGAAGAACAAAUGUGUAAGUAACUAUGCACGUCUUGACGGUACCUAAUCAGAAAGCCACGGCUAACUACGUG
rnacentral:rRNA from 1 species